AACGAACGCUGGCGGCAUGCCUAACACAUGCAAGUCGAACGAGACCUUCGGGUCUAGUGGCGCACGGGUGCGUAACGCGUGGGAACCUGCCCUUAGGUUCGGAAUAACUCCCGAAAGGGGGGCUUAAACCGGGUAAUGUUAUCCGACCAAAGCUUUAUCGCCUUUGGUUGGGGCGGCGUUGGAUUAGCCAGUUGGUAGGGGAAAAACCUACCAAGGCGACGAUCCAUAGCUGGUCUGAGAGGAUGAUCAGCCAUACUGGGACUGAGACACGGCCCAGACUCCUACGGGAGGCAGCAGUGGGGAAUAUUGGACAAUGGGCGAAAGCCUGAUCCAGCAAUGCCGCGUGAGUGAUGAAGGCCUUAGGGUUGUAAAGCUCUUUUACCCGGGAUGAUAAUGACAGUACCGGGAGAAUAAGCUCCGGCUAACUCCGUG
rnacentral:rRNA from 1 species